CAGCAGCCGCGGGAAUACGAAGGGUGCAAGCGUUAAUCGGAAUUACUGGGCGUAAAGCGUGCGUAGGCGGUGAGUUAAGUCUGCUGUGAAAUCCCCGGGCUCAACCUGGGAAUGGCAGUGGAUACUGGCUCGCUAGAGUGUGUCAGAGGAUGGUGGAAUUCCCGGUGUAGCGAUGAAAUGCGUAGAGAUCGGGAGGAACAUCAGUGGCGAAGGCGGCCAUCUGGGACAACACUGACGCUGAGGCACGAAAGCGUGGGGAGCAAACAGGAUUAGAUACCCGCGUAGUCCCUGUCUCUUAUAC
rnacentral:rRNA from 1 species